CGGGAGAAAAUCCCGCAGGGAUGUGGCCUGAUAAGGCUGAACCGUAAA
rfam:Candidatus Methanoperedens sp. DS-2015 MPEBLZ_contig000079, whole genome shotgun sequence.